rnacentral:rRNA from 1 species
UUAAGAAACAAAGAGCGCACGGUGGAUGCCUUGGCACUAAUAGGCGAAGAAGGACGCGACUAACAGCGAAAUGCUACGGGGAGCAGUAAGUACGCAGAGAUCCGUAGAUGUCCGAAUGGGGGAACCCACUAGUUUGAAGAACUAGUAUCAUAUAGUGAAUACAUAGCUAUAUGAGGCAAACCUGGAGAAUUGAAACAUCUUAGUACCCAGAGGAAAAGAAAAUAAAUAAUGAUUCCCUAAGUAGAGGCGAUUGAAAGGGGAAGAGCCCAGCACCAUCAAGAGUUACAAAAUCUUUUUAUAGUAGAAUUGUAUUGGAAAAGCAAGUCAAAGAAGGUGAAAGCCCUGUAUACGAAAUAAAGAGAUCUCGGUGUGAGAGUAGGGCGGAGCACGUGAAAUUCUGUCUGAAUAUGCGAGGACCAUCUCGUAAGGCUAAAUACUCAUUAGUGACCGAUAGUGAACCAGUACUGUGAAGGAAAGGUGAAAAGAACCCCUGGCGGGGAGUGAAAAGAACCUGAAACCGUGUGCUUACAAACAGUUAGAGCCCAUCAAUGGGUGAUAGCGUGCCUUUUGUAGAAUGAGCCGGCGAGUUACGUUAAUUUGCAAGGUUAAGCUUUUAGGAGUGGAGCCGUAGCGAAAGCAAGUCUUAAUAGGGCGAAUAAGUAGAUUGACGUAUACCCGAAACCGGGUGAUCUAGCCAUGAGCAGGUUGAAGCUUGGGUAAAACCAGGUGGAGGACCGAACCAGGGUCUGUUGAAAAAGACUUGGAUGACUUGUGGCUAGGGGUGAAAUUCCAAUCGAACCCGGAGAUAGCUGGUUCUCCCCGAAAUAGCUUUAGGGCUAGCGUUGUGAGAAGAGUUAUACGAAGGUAGAGCACUGAAUGGGUGAGGGCCGCACCUCGCGGUACCAAUCUCAAUCAAACUCCGAAUGUCGUAUAAUAUGCGCAGCAGUAAGACUAUGGGUGAUAAGGUCCAUGGUCAAAAGGGAAACAGCCCAGACCGCCAGUUAAGGUCCCAAAAUUAUGCUAAGUGGGAAAGGAGGUGGAGUCGCUUAAACAACUAGGAGGUUGGCUCAGAAGCAGCCAUCCUUUAAAGAGUGCGUAAUAGCUCACUAGUCGAGUGAUUCUGCGCCGAAAAUGUAUCGGGGCUAAGCAUAAUACCGAAGCUGCGGGAUUAGAUGAAGAAUCUAAUCGGUAGGGGAGCGUACUAAGUGCGUAGAAGGUUGACCGGAAGGGCAGCUGGAGCGCUUAGCAGUGAGUAUGCCGGUGUGAGUAGCGAUAAGAUGGGUGAGAAUCCCAUCCGUCGAAAGCCUAAGGUUUCCAGGGGUAAGGCUCGUCCUCCCUGGGUAAGUCGGGUCCUAAGGUGAGGCUGAGAAGCGUAGCUGAUGGACAUCAGGUUGAUAUUCCUGAACCACCAUAAAACUGAAGGAAUGACGGAGGAGGCUAAUCAGAGCUGAUUAAUGGAUUUCAGUUUAAGUACAAAGAGGGUUACGUAGGCAAAUCCGCGUAGCAAAACCUUGAAGUAUGAUGACGUAAGUCUGGUGAAGCCACACUUCCAAGAAAAGUUUCUAGGUGUAUUUUAUGGUGCCCGUACCGUAAACGGACACACGUAGGCGAGGAGAGAAUCCAAAGACGCGCGAGAUAAUUCUUGUUAAGGAACUCUGCAAAAUUACUCUGUAACUUCGGAAUAAAGAGGGCUCCCGUGAGGGAGACGCAGAAAAUAGGCCCAAGCGACUGUUUAACAAAAACAUAGGUUUCUGCUAAAGCGUAAGCUGAUGUAUAGGAGCUGACGCCUGCCCAGUGCUGGAAGGUUAAGAGGAGAAGUUAGUCGCAAGUCGAAGCUUUGAAUUGAAGCCCCAGUAAACGGCGGCCGUAACUAUAACGGUCCUAAGGUAGCGAAAUUCCUUGUCAGGUAAGUUCUGACCCGCACGAAAGGCGUAACGAUUUGGGCGCUGUCUCAACAAGAAACUCGGUGAAAUCAUAGUCACUGUGAAGAUGCAGGUUACCCGCGAUCAGACGGAAAGACCCCAUGGAGCUUCACUGCAACUUAAUAUUGAUAUUGGGUGUGUGAUGUACAGGAUAGGUGGGAGACAAAGAAGCGAGUACGCUAGUAUUCGUGGAGUCAACCUUGGGAUACCACCCCUCGCACAUUUAGUAUCUAACUAGUUUCCAUAAGCUGGGAAUAGAACAGUGUUAGGUGGGCAGUUUGACUGGGGCGGUCGCC